rnacentral:rRNA from 1 species
UACGUAGGGUGCGAGCGUUGUCCGGAAUUAUUGGGCGUAAAGAGCUCGUAGGCGGUUUGUCGCGUCUGCCGUGAAAGUCCGGGGCUCAACUCCGGAUCUGCGGUGGGUACGGGCAGACUAGAGGUAGGCAGGGGAGAGCGGAACUCCUGGUGUAGCGGUGGAAUGCGCAGAUAUCAGGAAGAACACCCGUGGCGAAGGCGGCUCUCUGGGACGGUACUGACGCUGAGACGCGAAAGCGUGGGGAGCGAACAGG